rnacentral:misc_RNA from 1 species
GAUGAAGAACGUAGCGAAAUGCGAUACGUAAUGUGAAUUGCAGAAUUCAGUGAAUCAUCGAAUCUUUGAACGCAUAUUGCGCCUUCUGGUAUUCCGGAGGGCAUGCUUGUUUGAGUAUCAGUAACAACCUCAACUCUUCUUCAUUGCGGAGAAAGAGUUGGAUUUGAGCAUUUCCACAAGUUCGUCUUGGAGGAUUGCUUGAAAUAUGAGGUUCGGCCGGCAGUUGCCUGGGCUACAAGCAUUUCAUACUUAAUCCCGUCAAAUGGAUUAUAUCCUUUGCUGCAGCCAACAUACAGGGUAACUUUGCCAGUGUUCCGACUGAUGCAGGAAAGUUGAGAACAGCUUUUUGCUUUCUCUUCUAAACUCGAUCUCAAAUCAAGUAAGACUACCCGCUGAACUUAAGCAUAUCAAUAAGCGGAGGA